rnacentral:pre_miRNA from 1 species
CUUGUACUCCCUCCGUCCGAAAAAACUUGUCCCAAGCUUGUUGCUCAAAUGAAUGUAUCUAGCACUAACUUGAUGCUAGAUACAUCCAUUUGAGGGACAAGCUUUUUCGGAUGGAGGGUGUAUCAU